AUACCCCGGUAGUCCAGGGUGUAAACGCUGCGGGCUUGGUGUUGGGGGUCCUUUGUGGGCGCCCAGUGCCGGAGAGAAGUUGUUAAGCCUGCUGCUUGGGGAGUACGUCCGCAAGGAUGAAACUUAAAGGAAUUGGCGGGGGAGCACCGCAACGGGAGGAGCGUGCGGUUCAAUUGGAUUCAACGCCGGACAACUCACCAGGAGCGACGGUUACAUGAAGGCCAGGUUGAUGACCUUGCUUGAUUUUCCGAGAGGUGGUGCAUGGCCGUCGUCAGUUCGUACCGUAAGGCGUUCUCUUAAGUGAGAUAACGAACGAGACCCUCACCAUUAAUUGCGAGCUUUCUCUCCGGAGGGAGUGCACAUUAGUGGGACCGCUGGCGCUAAGUCAGAAGAAGGAGAGGUCAACGGUAGGUCCGUAUGCCCCGAAUCUCCUGGGCUACACGCGCGCUACAAAGGUUGGGACAAUGGGCUGCGACAUCGAAAGGUGAAGCCAAUCCCGAAACCCAAUCGUAGUUCGGAUUGAGGGUUGUAACUCACCCUCAUGAAGCUGGAUUCCGUAGUAAUCGC
rnacentral:rRNA from 1 species